UUAAUUAUAGCUAAUAUAAGCAAUAUCACUGUUAAUGAUUAGAUAAGUUUAAAACUUUAAUUAAG
rnacentral:tRNA from 1 species